rnacentral:rRNA from 1 species
UUAGUGGCGAACGGGUGNNUAACACGUGAGUAACCUGCCCUUGACUCUGGGAUAAGCGCUGGAAACGGCGUCUAAUACCGGAUACGAGCUUCAGCCGCAUGGCUAGGAGUUGGAAAGAAUUUCGGUCAAGGAUGGACUCGCGGCCUAUCAGCUAGUUGGUGAGGUAAUGGCUCACCAAGGCGACGACGGGUAGCCGGCCUGAGAGGGUGACCGGCCACACUGGGACUGANACACGGCCCAGACUCCUACGGGAGGCAGCAGUGGGGAAUAUUGCACAAUGGGCGAAAGCCUGAUGCAGCAACGCCGCGUGAGGGAUGACGGNCUUCGGGUUGUAAACCUCUUUUAGUAGGGAAGAAGCGAAAGUGACGGUACCUGCAGAAAAAGCACCGGCUAACUACGUGCCAGCAGCCGCGGAAAUACGUAGGGUGCAAGCGUUGUCCGGAAUUAUUGGNCGUAAAGAGCUCGUAGGCGGUUUGUCGCGUCUGCUGUGAAAUCUGGGGGCUCAACCCCCANNCUGNAGUGGGUACGGGCACACUANAGNGCGGUAGGGGAGAUUGGAAUUCCUGGUGUAGCGGUGGAAAUGCACANUAUCAAGAGGAACACCGAAUGGCGAACGCAGAUCUCUGGGUCGUAACUGACGCUGAGGAGCGAAAGCGUGGGGAGCGAACAC